ACGUGUGUGUAAAAUGUAUUUACACAUUUUUAUACUCAAGUUGUUUGCUUAUGUACGGACAUCGAAGUAGGUAUGACUUGAAAUUGCCUACUUCAAGAGUUGUGAGGGAGGGUGUAACAGCUUUCAACGUACUCCAUCUUUUGCAGCAGCCUUUUAUAUUUUUGUUCUUUAUGUUUGCCCUAGAUGGGAAAAAGAGUAAUAGACUUGAAUUCAAGGAAGAAAGACUCAAAGGGCAGGCUUUCAAACGUGUCUGCAAGGCGUAGAACAGCUUGCCUGGGGAGGUUGUGUGAUGUCCCCUGAAAGUUCUGUGAUGUCAGAUUAAACAGCUGCAGGAUCCGCAGAGGUACAGCGGAGUCUGCCUGAGGAGGAGGAAGGGAUGAGUGAACUUGAGAGGACCUCCCGAGCCUGGUGAUCCUGCUGCUGGUUGUGGGGUUCACGCUGACUAAUGCGUUCAAGACAUCCAAACAAAUAACAGCAAGAUAUAAACCAGGCUGGAGAAGCAGAUGGGCUUAAGAGUCUGUCACUGGGCUUUGAUUCUGACUGCAGGUCUUGUCUUUUCUACCUACACAGCCCCCAGACAUCAGAGUCAAUCCUGCUGCUUUGACACAGGCCACGCUGUCACCAAAGGGAUUGUCACCAAAGGCAUUGAGAUGGUGUUGGCUGCACGUUUACUGUGACAACUGCAAGUUACUGUCUGGCUUAUUGAUUGUGCACAGGUCUGGGUGAUUUUGGUGCAUGGAGAUAGGGGGAGGAGAAGUAUAUCACAGUGGGACAAGGGAAAAUGUCCCUCUAGGUGUGGUGAGCUCCAAUGGCAGCUGCCUGUCCCCGAACGAUGCUGUGUAGAGCAGCCUGUGAUUCCCACUCUGGGGCAGAGGCCCCAGGUGGAGUCAUGCUCAAGUCUGUUAUGUGCUUUGCACAGACCCAGUUCCUGGUUGCAAACAAUCUCCCAAAGAGGAAGGAGGAUGCAGGACCACACCGGAGGCUCUGUAUGACUUUUGCUGUUCCCUCUCUUCACACUCAUUCCCAAUGUAGGUGCUACAGUGGGUCUCAAAAUAGGAGAUGAGAUGAGGACUGCAUCCCAGAAGAGGAAGGUAACUUUUUCUGAAUCCACGGGGCAGUUCUAUUCAGAGCCCUGUCUGGGCAUGAGAAAGAGAUUAAAUUUCCAUCCAUCCCGAUGGACAAGACUUUUUGCAUCUUUGUUCUGAUUUCCUGACAGGCCGGCGUAUCAUACAUCUAACCUUCUGGGUCAGGAGAGGAAGGUAGAGGGUGAACUAAGACAGUGAAAAGACACUGAAAUCGUUAUUAACAAAUAAUAAGGGCUAAGGGGAAAUGCACACUCAUGCAUAAGUCCCCCUUACUAUAAUAGCAUGGGUAUAUGCUGGUAUUGUUGUCCAGAUUGUGGUUGCCCCCAGCCACGAUCAGGCGAGGCAUAAGGUGAUUGUUUCCUCCAUGGCCGCCAUGGCAGCCUUCUUAACGUGUUGUGGGGAUUAUUGCUAAUGCAGCAAAGACAUUUUUUGGCCCUGAGUCAUUGCUCAUGCUAUUCAGCCGAAAUUUUCAUGAGAGUUAUUUACUAGCAGUUAAAUGCAAAUGGGUUCUGCCUUACACGGAAGGCAGAAAAAGGUACAUUCCCUGCUCUCUGAAAUUUGUGAUCUAAUUAGAGAUGGUAUUUGUCAAAACAUCUCUGUGCCCCAGUUGCUGUUACUAGGGAUUUUAACCAAAGACACCUCUUUCUCUGAGAAGGUACAAUACUGAGGAAAUACC